GACGAACGCUGGCGGCGUGCCUAAUACAUGCAAGUAGAACGCUGAAGAGAGGAGCUUGCUCUUCUUGGAUGAGUUGCGAACGGGUGAGUAACGCGUAGGUAACCUGCCUUGUAGCGGGGGAUAACUAUUGGAAACGAUAGCUAAUACCGCAUAACAAUGGAUGACACAUGUCAUUUAUUUGAAAGGGGCAAUUGCUCCACUACAAGAUGGACCUGCGUUGUAUUAGCUAGUUGGUGAGGUAACGGCUCACCUAGGCGACGAUACAUAGCCGACCUGAGAGGGUGAUCGGCCACACUGGGACUGAGACACGGCCCAGACUCCUACGGGAGGCAGCAGUAGGGAAUCUUCGGCAAUGGGGGCAACCCUGACCGAGCAACGCCGCGUGAGUGAAGAAGGUUUUCGGAUCGUAAAGCUCUGUUGUAAGUCAAGAACGAGUGUGAGAGUGGAAAGUUCACACUGUGACGGUAGCUUACCAGAAAGGGACGGCUAACUACGUGCCAGCAGCCGCGGUAAUACGUAGGUCCCGAGCGUUGUCCGGAUUUAUUGGGCGUAAAGCGAGCGCAGGCGGUUUGAUAAGUCUGAAGUUAAAGGCUGUGGCUCAACCAUAGUUCGCUUUGGAAACUGUCAAACUUGAGUGCAGAAGGGGAGAGUGGAAUUCCAUGUGUAGCGGUGAAAUGCGUAGAUAUAUGGAGGAACACCGGUGGCGAAAGCGGCUCUCUGGUCUGUAACUGACGCUGAGGCUCGAAAGCGUGGGGAGCGAACAGG
rnacentral:rRNA from 1 species